rnacentral:rRNA from 1 species
UACGAAGGGGGCUAGCGUUGUUCGGAUUUACUGGGCGUAAAGCGCACGUAGGCGGAUCGUUAAGUCGGGGGUGAAAUCCUGGAGCUCAACUCCAGAACUGCCUUCGAUACUGGCGAUCUUGAGUCCGGAAGAGGUGAGUGGAACUCCUAGUGUAGAGGUGGAAAUUCGUAGAUAUUAGGAAGAACACCAGUGGCGAAGGCGGCUCACUGGUCCGGUAC